UUGGAGGGCAAGUCUGGUGCCAGCAGCCGCGGUAAUUCCAGCUCCAAUAGCGUAUAUUAAAGUUGUUGCAGUUAAAAAGCUCGUAGUUGAAUUUCGGGAUCAAUAUGUUGGUCGUGCCAUUGGUACGUACUGGCAUUAUUGGUUUCUACCUUCUGAAGAACCUCGAUGUCAUUAAUUUGGUGUCUUGGGGAAUCAGGACUGUUACUUUGAAAAAAUUAGAGUGUUUAAAGCAAGCUCGCGCUUGAAUACAUUAGCAUGGAAUAAUGAAAUAGGACGUUUGAUUCUAUUUUGUUGGUUUCUAGGAUUGACGUAAUGAUUAAUAGGGAUAGUUGGGGGCAUUAGUAUUCAAUUGUCAGAGGUGAAAUUCUUGGAUUUAUUGAAGACUAACUACUGCGGAAGCAUUUGCCAAGGAUGUUUUCAUUAAUCAAGAACGAAAGUUAGGGGAUCGAAGACGAUCAGAUACCGUCGUAGUCUUAACCAUAAACUAUGCCGACUAGGGAUCGGAUGAUGUUAAUUUUUUAAUGACUCAUUCGGCGCCUUACGGGAAAC
rnacentral:rRNA from 1 species